AUUGAACGCUGGCGGUAUGCUUAACACAUGCAAGUCGAACGAUGAGAAAGAGCUUGCUCUUUCGAUUAGUGGCGGACGGGUGCGUAACGCGUAGGAAUCUACCUAUUAGUGGGGGACAACUUAGGGAAACUUAAGCUAAUACCGCAUACGCCCUACGGGGGAAAGAAGGGGAUCGCAAGACCUUUUGCUAAUAGAUGAGCCUGCGUAGGAUUAGCUAGUUGGUGGGGUAAAAGCUCACCAAGGCGACGAUCCUUAACUGGUUUGAGAGAAUGAUCAGUCACACUGGAACUGAGACACGGUCCAGACUCCUACGGGAGGCAGCAGUGGGGAAUAUUGGACAAUGGGCGAAGGCCUGAUCUAGCAAUACCGCGUGUGUGAAGAAGGCCUUAGGGUUGUAAAGCACUUUCAAUUGGAAGGAAAACCUCGAAGCUAAUACCUUCGAGUUUGACAUUACCUUUAGAAGAAGCACCGGCUAACUCCGUGCCAGCCGCCGCGGUAA
rnacentral:rRNA from 1 species